rnacentral:tRNA from 1 species
GGGAAGGUGGCUCAAUGGUAGAGUGCUUGCCUUGCAUGCAUGAGGCCCUGGGUUCGAUUCCUCA